rnacentral:lncRNA from 1 species
AGAAAAGUGCGAUAAAAACAAAAAAAGGUAAAAAAGAAAAGGUUGGGAGCCUGUCAGACAGCUGCGUGACCAUCUCAGGCAAGCAUUGCAUUGCCUGGGAACGAUCCUCUACAGCACCAGCAGGUCCAGAGGACCUACGAGAGCCGUUAAUCACGCUCUGAUCACGCAGCCAUACAUAGACUGGGUUUCAACUAUAACAACCAUACAUUUUGUUUUCGUCUGAAUAACAACUAUACUUGAACUGCUGAAUAAUCACAUUAGCCUUUUCUUUUCCCUCGUUCAAAAACAAAUCUUCAUAUAUUGCCUUCGCAGAAUACGUGGAAUAGAAAAGUGCGAUAAAAACAAAAAAAGGUAAAAAAGAAAAGGUUGGGAGCCUGUCAGACAGCUGCGUGACCAUCUCAGGCAAGCAUUGCAUUGCCUGGGAACGAUCCUCUACAGCACCAGCAGGUCCAGAGGACCUACGAGAGCCGUUAAUCACGCUCUGAUCACGCAGCCACGAUUUAUCCACCAGACUUUGGUUCCUGUCUCCUUAGGUCUCAAGGACACAGAGGUACGAACCUAUAGAACAGAUCCUGUUCAAG